AAGUAAGUAUCUCAGCAAAUUUUGUCGCGCAUGAUUCAACCAGCGAAUGCUGAAGAAACUACAUCGCUAUGAACGACGUGGUCGCGGGUUCGAGUCCCGUCCGCUCCA
rnacentral:tRNA from 1 species